rnacentral:lncRNA from 13 species
GCCAAGUUUAGUUAAAUUUAACACAAGUUUCCUAGAACUUAGGGAUGGCUCUUUCUAUACAAUAGAGCAUUGUGAGAAUAUAAUGAGGUAACCUGGGAACAGGAAAAGGAUCUGCAAAGUGCCAGCACUCUGCUAAGCGCGCAGCAUCCACAGCCUCCCUUGUCCUUAUUGCAGGCCUGCAAGAAGAAUCUAGCAAACUCAUACGUGCCAAGUUCCAACGAAGAAGCUCACAGUCUCCUGGGGAAAAUGGACAUAAAAACAGGAAAUUACCACAUAAACUACAAGUCUUCAAAGCACUGUUCCAUCGACCCAUAACUCAGCCCAACCCUGCAACUUGAACAGGAAGAUCCCCUUGUCUGUCUCUUCCCUUCAGGUCUUCUUAAUGACAAAAGCCCAGCUCCUACGCUGCUGACUGCCCUACCCCCAACAUGCUGACCAGUCACAAGAAGGAAAACCAGUUAACAAGUGCUUGGAGAAGCUACAACAUACUUGGGCUUCCAGUCUUUAAAUGGACCAUUUUUAUCUGAACCUGGCUGUGAAGUCUUGGCUGAUAUAGGCUAGAGACAUGAAAGGAAGGUGAGUUAGGGCCUAAAAUGACAAAAUGAGGGCAGAGAAAAGUGUUGAAAAUGAAUGACUGCGGGAAGGAAAGAAAUCUUCUUCCGAGACACUCCCGUUUCUAUCUGACACCAGUGAGAUGGCGAACACGCUAACUUUGGAUCUAAGAAAGCUGAGUUCAAAUUCUGAGCCUACCCGCUCUGUAUCUAUGUGAUCUUCAACAAGCCAUUAACUCCUUCCAG